rnacentral:rRNA from 1 species
AGGCAGCAGUAGGGAAUAUUGGUCAAUGGGCGGGAGCCUGAACCAGCCAUGCCGCGUGCAGGAAGACGGCCUUCUGGGUUGUAAACUGCUUUUUUUAGGGAAGAAAACGCCCAUGCGUGGGAGAUUGACGGUACCUGAAGAAUAAGCACCGGCUAACUCCGUGCCAGCAGCCGCGGUAAUACGGAGGGUGCAAGCGUUGUCCGGAUUUAUUGGGUUUAAAGGGUGCGUAGGCGGCUUUUUAAGUCAGUGGUGAAAUGCGGCAGCUCAACUGCCGGAGUGCCAUUGAUACUGAAAAGCUUGAGUAUAGAUGAGGCAGGCGGAAUUUAUGGUGUAGCGGUGAAAUGCAUAGAUACCAUAAAGAACACCGAUAGCGUAGGCAGCUUGCUAAACUAUAACUGACGCUGAGGCACGAAAGCAUGGGUAGCGAACAGGAUUAGAUACCCUGGUAGUCCAUGCCGUAAACGAUGAUUACUCGAUGUGUGCGAUACACAGUACGCGUCCAAGCGAAAGCGUUAAGUAAUCCACCUGGGGAGUACGCCCGCAAGGGUGAAACUC